rnacentral:rRNA from 1 species
UGGGGAAUAUUGCACAAUGGGGGAAACCCUGAUGCAGCGACGCCGCGUGAACGAAGAAGGUAUUCGUAUCGUAAAGUUCUGUCCUAUGGGAAGAUAAUGACAGUACCAUAGAAGAAAGCUCCGGCUAAAUACGUGCCAGCAGCCGCGGUAAUACGUAUGGAGCGAGCGUUGUCCGGAAUAUUUGGGCGUAAAGGGUACGCAGGCGGUUUAAUAAGUCGAAUGUUAAAGAUCGGGGCUCAACCCCGCAAAGCAUUGGAAACUGAUAAACUUGAGUAGUGGAGAGGAAAGUGGAAUUCCUAGUGUAGUGGUGAAAUACGUAGAUAUUAGGAAGAAUACCAGUAGCGAAGGCGACUUUCUGGACACAAACUGACGCUGAGGUACGAAAGCGUGGGGAGCAAACAGG